CAAGUCUCCAAAGGACAUUUUCAAAUGUACAUCAAGAAAUGGUUACAGAGAUGUUUAAGAAGCAUCUUCAUGUCUACAUCCUGUUGUAACUGCUGUGCUGUUUUCUCUUCCAGCUGCUUCUCUUUGCCUGCAAGAGGGACUCGGGUAAGAUGGAUGUUUUGCUUGACUUCUUGGAUAUCCUGGACUUUCUGUAGCUCUUUAUUUUUCUUUAAUCUGUUUAUUAUACAUUUAGCUUGGCGUUUCUGUUUGAUCUCUUCAACUCUCUUCAUUGCAUCAAUAGUUUUAUUUUGCGGAUGAACAUUACGCCAUGGCCAGGGUAGAUGGGCCCCAAACAGAAAUAAUACUUCUUGAUACACGUGUUGAACCCACGUGGGUCCCCACCAGCCAAAUGCCAAGCUUGAGAGGAAGUGACCACCUUAUGAUGUUUUCAAGAACUAAAUUUCAAGCAGAGAGAAUCUUAUUUGUCUGGUUUAGGUCACAUGUCUACUCCAUGGUUGAGCAGAAGUAGUGUGGGCUCUUCCAGAAUAGGGGAGGAACAAUUCCUUAAAGAAAGUAGCAUUACAAAAAGAAGUUUAGGGGUUGGUGGUGAGAAAGAAAUGUGUUAGGCAGGAAAAACGCUAUCAUAGUACAUGCUAGAGUGGAUUUGCUAAUUUUUAA
rnacentral:lncRNA from 1 species